rnacentral:rRNA from 1 species
UUAAGCGACUAAGCGUACACGGUGGAUGCCCUGGCAGUCAGAGGCGAUGAAGGACGUGCUAAUCUGCGAUAAGCGUCGGUAAGGUGAUAUGAACCGUUAUAACCGGCGAUUUCCGAAUGGGGAAACCCAGUGUGUUUCGACACACUAUCAUUAACUGAAUCCAUAGGUUAAUGAGGCGAACCGGGGGAACUGAAACAUCUAAGUACCCCGAGGAAAAGAAAUCAACCGAGAUUCCCCCAGUAGCGGCGAGCGAACGGGGAGCAGCCCAGAGCCUGAAUCAGUGUGUGUGUUAGUGGAAGCGUCUGGAAAGGCGCGCGAUACAGGGUGACAGCCCCGUACACAAAAAUGCACAUACUGUGAGCUCGAUGAGUAGGGCGGGACACGUGGUAUCCUGUCUGAAUAUGGGGGGACCAUCCUCCAAGGCUAAAUACUCCUGACUGACCGAUAGUGAACCAGUACCGUGAGGGAAAGGCGAAAAGAACCCCGGCGAGGGGAGUGAAAAAGAACCUGAAACCGUGUACGUACAAGCAGUGGGAGCACGCUUAGGCGUGUGACUGCGUACCUUUUGUAUAAUGGGUCAGCGACUUAUAUUCUGUAGCAAGGUUAACCGAAUAGGGGAGCCGAAGGGAAACCGAGUCUUAACUGGGCGUUAAGUUGCAGGGUAUAGACCCGAAACCCGGUGAUCUAGCCAUGGGCAGGUUGAAGGUUGGGUAACACUAACUGGAGGACCGAACCGACUAAUGUUGAAAAAUUAGCGGAUGACUUGUGGCUGGGGGUGAAAGGCCAAUCAAACCGGGAGAUAGCUGGUUCUCCCCGAAAGCUAUUUAGGUAGCGCCUCGUGAAUUCAUCUCCGGGGGUAGAGCACUGUUUCGGCAAGGGGGUCAUCCCGACUUACCAACCCGAUGCAAACUGCGAAUACCGGAGAAUGUUAUCACGGGAGACACACGGCGGGUGCUAACGUCCGUCGUGAAGAGGGAAACAACCCAGACCGCCAGCUAAGGUCCCAAAGUCAUGGUUAAGUGGGAAACGAUGUGGGAAGGCCCAGACAGCCAGGAUGUUGGCUUAGAAGCAGCCAUCAUUUAAAGAAAGCGUAAUAGCUCACUGGUCGAGUCGGCCUGCGCGGAAGAUGUAACGGGGCUAAACCAUGCACCGAAGCUGCGGCAGCGACGCUGAUGCGUUGUUGGGUAGGGGAGCGUUCUGUAAGCCUGCGAAGGUGUGCUGUGAGGCAUGCUGGAGGUAUCAGAAGUGCGAAUGCUGACAUAAGUAACGAUAAAGCGGGUGAAAAGCCCGCUCGCCGGAAGACCAAGGGUUCCUGUCCAACGUUAAUCGGGGCAGGGUGAGUCGACCCCUAAGGCGAGGCCGAAAGGCGUAGUCGAUGGGAAACAGGUUAAUAUUCCUGUACUUGGUGUUACUGCGAAGGGGGGACGGAGAAGGCUAUGUUGGCCGGGCGACGGUUGUCCCGGUUUAAGCGUGUAGGCUGGUUUUCCAGGCAAAUCCGGAAAAUCAAGGCUGAGGCGUGAUGACGAGGCACUACGGUGCUGAAGCAACAAAUGCCCUGCUUCCAGGAAAAGCCUCUAAGCAUCAGGUAACAUCAAAUCGUACCCCAAACCGACACAGGUGGUCAGGUAGAGAAUACCAAGGCGCUUGAGAGAACUCGGGUGAAGGAACUAGGCAAAAUGGUGCCGUAACUUCGGGAGAAGGCACGCUGAUAUGUAGGUGAAGUCCCUCGCGGAUGGAGCUGAAAUCAGUCGAAGAUACCAGCUGGCUGCAACUGUUUAUUAAAAACACAGCACUGUGCAAACACGAAAGUGGACGUAUACGGUGUGACGCCUGCCCGGUGCCGGAAGGUUAAUUGAUGGGGUCAGCGCAAGCGAAGCUCUUGAUCGAAGCCCCGGUAAACGGCGGCCGUAACUAUAACGGUCCUAAGGUAGCGAAAUUCCUUGUCGGGUAAGUUCCGACCUGCACGAAUGGCGUAAUGAUGGCCAGGCUGUCUCCACCCGAGACUCAGUGAAAUUGAACUCGCUGUGAAGAUGCAGUGUACCCGCGGCAAGACGGAAAGACCCCGUGAACCUUUACUAUAGCUUGACACUGAACAUUGAGCCUUGAUGUGUAG